GCUUACGGCCACACCGCCUGGUAUACGCUUGAUCUCGGAAGAUAAGAUAGGUUGGGCCUGGUUAGUACUUGGAUGGGAGACCGCCUGUGAAUACCAGGUGCUGUAAGCU
ensembl:rRNA 5S_rRNA 5S ribosomal RNA